rnacentral:rRNA from 1 species
CAGUAGCCGCGGGAAUACCGAGGGUGCGAGCGUUAAUCGGAUUUACUGGGCGUAAAGCGUGCGUAGGCGGCUUUUUAAGUCGGAUGUGAAAUCCCUGAGCUUAACUUAGGAAUUGCAUUCGAUACUGGGAAGCUAGAGUAUGGGAGAGGAUGGUAGAAUUCCAGGUGUAGCGGUGAAAUGCGUAGAGAUAUGGAGGAAUACCGAUGGCGAAGGCAGCCAUCUGGCCUAAUACUGACGCUGAGGUACGAAAGCAUGGGGAGCAAACAGGAUUAGAUACCCGGGUAGUCCCUGUCUCUUAUAC